GGGGAUUUAGCUCAGUGGUAGAGCGCUUGCCUAGCAAGCACAAGACACUGGGUUCGGUCCCCAGCUCCG
rnacentral:tRNA from 1 species